AACAUCCAGGGCCUGCUUUCAUUAAGUUGCUUAGAGAAAUCUUAACUUUUAAGUGUACAUUUUGGAGCUACUAAUUUAAAUAUUAUGGAGGGAAAUGAUAAUGAAGUUUACUUAGAGACAUAAUCGUGGGAAAUGAUAAUGAAGGUUAUUUAGCAACAGAAAGAAUGGAAAUGAUCAUGAAGGUUGUUAAGCAACAGAAAGGAUGGAAAUGAUCAUGAAGGUUAUUUAGCAACAUAAAGAAUGGAAAUGAUAAUGAAGGUUAUUUAGCAAAAGAAAGAAUGGAAAUGAUAAUGAAGGUUAUUUAGCAACAUAAAGAAUGGAAAUAAUCAUGAGGUUAUUUAGCAACAGAAAGAAUGGAAAUAAUCAUGAAGGUUAUUUAGCAACAGAAAGAAUGGAAAUGAUCAUGAAGGUUAUUUAGCAACAUAACGUAUGGAAAUAAUCAUGAAUGUUUUUGAGCAACAUAAUGUAGGCAAAUGAUCAUGUUGAUUACUUAGCAAUAUAAAGUAAGGAAAACGUUAAUAUUUACUUGUAAUUCAGUAAAUAUUUUGAUGUAUGUAUGACCUGUAAGAAUUGCCUAGGUCAUAGAUUGAGAGAACUAAGUAUUUAAAGACCUACCAACCAGGGGUUAAUACCUGUGUAUUAAUUGUUUGUAGAUUAGCCUGUGCCAGUCUGCAAAGGCUAACCAGGGACACCAAUUCGCUUUCAUGGAUUUUUACCUUUAAAGGAAGUUGCUGCUUAGCAAAAGUCCAAUUUAGAUGGAAACCGUCUUCCCUGAUAAGGCUGUGCUGACUGCAUAGGCUAAUCUGGGAUGACACUUUACGCACACGCUUUUAGCCCAGUCUUCCCAAA